AGCGGCGGACGGGUGAGUAACGCGUGGGUAACCUGCCCUAUACACACGGAUAACAUACCGAAAGGUAUGCUAAUACGAGAUAAUAUAAGAGAUUCGCAUGGAUUUCUUAUCAAAGCUGAGGCGGUGUAGGAUGGACCCGCGUCUGAUUAGCUAGUUGGUAAGGCAACGGCUUACCAAGGCGACGAUCAGUAGCCGACCUGAGAGGGUGAUCGGCCACAUUGGAACUGAGACACGGUCCAAACUCCUACGGGAGGCAGCAGUGGGGAAUAUUGCACAAUGGGCGAAAGCCUGAUGCAGCAACGCCGCGUGAGUGAUGAAGGCCUUCGGGUCGUAAAACUCUGUCCUCAAGGAAGAUAAUGACGGUACUUGAGGAGGAAGCCCCGGCUAACUACGUGCCAGCAGCCGCGGUAAUACGUAGGGGGCUAGCGUUAUCCGGAUUUACUGGGCGUAAAGGGUGCGUAGGUGGUCUCUUAAGUCAGGAGUGAAAGGCUACGGCUUAACCGUAGUAAGCUCUUGAAACUGGGAGACUUGAGUGCAGGAGAGGAAAGUGGAAUUCCUAGUGUAGCGGUGAAAUGCGUAGAUAUUAGGAGGAACACCAGUAGCGAAGGCGGCUUUCUGGACUGUAACUGACACUGAGGCACGAAAGCGUGGGGUGCAAACAGGAUUAGAUACCCUGGUAGUCCACGCCGUAAACGGUGAGUACUAGGUGU
rnacentral:rRNA from 1 species